GGCGGCAGGCCUAACACAUGCAAGUCGAGCGGUAACAGAAAGUAGCUUGCUACUUUGCUGACGAGCGGCGGACGGGUGAGUAAUGCUUGGGAACAUGCCUUGAGGUGGGGGACAACAGUUGGAAACGACUGCUAAUACCGCAUAAUGUCUACGGACCAAAGGGGGCUUCGGCUCUCGCCUUUAGAUUGGCCCAAGUGGGAUUAGCUAGUUGGUGAGGUAAUGGCUCACCAAGGCAACGAUCCCUAGCUGGUUUGAGAGGAUGAUCAGCCACACUGGGACUGAGACACGGCCCAGACUCCUACGGGAGGCAGCAGUGGGGAAUAUUGCACAAUGGGCGCAAGCCUGAUGCAGCCAUGCCGCGUGUGUGAAGAAGGCCUUCGGGUUGUAAAGCACUUUCAGUCAGGAGGAAAGGUUAGUAGUUAAUACCUGCUAGCUGUGACGUUACUGACAGAAGAAGCACCGGCUAACUCCGUGCCAGCAGCCGCGGUAAUACGGAGGGUGCGAGCGUUAAUCGGAAUUACUGGGCGUAAAGCGUACGCAGGCGGUUUGUUAAGCGAGAUGUGAAAGCCCCGGGCUCAACCUGGGAACUGCAUUUCGAACUGGCAAACUAGAGUGUGAUAGAGGGUGGUAGAAUUUCAGGUGUAGCGGUGAAAUGCGUAGAGAUCUGAAGGAAUACCGAUGGCGAAGGCAGCCACCUGGGUCAACACUGACGCUCAUGUACGAAAGCGUGGGGAGCAAACAGGAU
rnacentral:rRNA from 1 species